rnacentral:misc_RNA from 1 species
GAUGAAGAACGUAGCGAAAUGCGAUAAGUAGUGUGAAUUGCAGAAUUCAGUGAAUCAUCGAAUCUUUGAACGCACAUUGCGCCCGCCAGUAUUCUGGCGGGCAUGCCUGUUCGAGCGUCAUUUCAACCCUCAAGACCCAGCGGCCUGGUGUUGGGGACCGGCGACCUCGCCCGAGCCCGCCCUCCGGGGCGCGUGCCCGGUGCGUCCGCCGCCCCCGAAAUGAAUUGGCGGCCUCGUCGCGGCCUCCUCUGCGUAGUAGCACAACCUCGCAAGCGGGAGCGCGACGCGGCCACUGCCGUAAAACGCCCAACUUUUUUAGAGUUGACCUCGGAUCAGGUAGGAAUACCCGCUGAACUUAAGCAUAUCAAUAAGCGGAGGA